UACGGGGGGGGGCAAGCGUUGUUCGGAAUUAUUGGGCGUAAAGAGCUCGUAGGCGGCUUGUCGCGUCGACUGUGAAAACCCGCGGCUCAACCGCGGGCCUGCAGCCGAUACGGGCAGGCUAGAGUUCGGUAGGGGAGACUGGAAUUCCGUGGUGUAGCGGUGAAAUGCGCAGAUAUCAGGAGGAACACCGGUGGCGAAGGCGGG
rnacentral:rRNA from 1 species